GGGGAAUAUUGCACAAUGGGGGAAACCCUGAUGCAGCAACGCCGCGUGAAGGAUGAAGGUUUUCGGAUUGUAAACUUCUUUAGUCAGGGACGAAUAAAUGACGGUACCUGAAGAAUAAGCCACGGCUAACUACGUGCCAGCAGCCGCGGUAAUACGUAGGUGGCGAGCGUUGUCCGGAAUUACUGGGUGUAAAGGGCGUGUAGGCGGGAAUGUAAGUCAGAUGUGAAAUCCCAGGGCUUAACUCUGGAGCUGCAUCUGAAACUAUGUUUCUUGAGUGUCGGAGAGGAAAGCGGAAUUCCUAGUGUAGCGGUGAAAUGCGUAGAUAUUAGGAGGAACACCAGUGGCGAAGGCGGCUUUCUGGACGAUAACUGACGCUGAGGCGCGAAAGCGUGGGGAGCAAACA
rnacentral:rRNA from 1 species